CAGUGUUGGCUCCUUUGAAAAUCUUUAGUUCUUGGGGCAGCACUAAUUAUCAAAGUGUAGCAAAAAUAUUGCGGCCUGGAGCUAUGCUUGUUGUAACUUUUGUACAAUAGCAUCUUUACUAGAUAAUACAUGUUUAAAGCACCAAGGAAACUUUGCUUUUCUUAAAGAACG
rfam:Choloepus hoffmanni cont1.398986, whole genome shotgun sequence.